rnacentral:rRNA from 1 species
AUUGCACGCUGGCGGCAGGCUUAACACAUGCAAGUCGAGCGAGCGGAGGCCGGGUAAGUAAUGUCUGGGCAAAUGCCUGAUGGAGGGGGAUAAAUACUGGCAACGGUAGCUAAUACCGCAUACCCUCCUAUGUACCCAGAUGGUAUUAGCUAGUAGGUGGGGUAAUGGUUCACCUAGGAGAAGAUCCCUAGCUGGUCGGAGAGGAUGACCAGCAACACGGGAAAGGAGACACGGUCCAGACGCCUACGGGAGGAAGCAGUGGGGAAUAUUGGACAAUGGGGGCAAGCCUGAUGCAGCCAUGCCGCGGGUGUGAAGAAGGCCUUCGGGUUGUAAAGCACUUUCAGCGAGGAGGCGUUACUCGCAGAAGAAGCACCGGCUAACUACGUGCCAGCAGCCGCGGUAAUUC